CUGGCGGUCGCCCUCUGCAGCCGCACUGAAAUCUUCCGGGAGGAGCCAGUAACGAGAGUGAUGGCUCUGCCGUCGAGGUCCUGGUGUUCUGCAUCAACGCUGGGAAACUCAAACACUUCAUCCUGGGCUGAAAGAGAAGCUCAGCCACUGAUGCAUUGCAUGGGCAACAAGCCUGCAGUACAGGCAUGGGGAUGUACAUGAUAUGGACAGUGCUGCCAGCAGACCUUUUCCUGACCCCAGGUCUCAGGAGACAACAAAUAGAGCCACGUGUAAACAGUUCAACUUUGACACAGAGGCACCUCUAUGGAUCUCAGCUCAUCUGUAAACUUUCCAGAGACCUGCAUGCAGGAAACUCAUAUUCUUUACAAGAUUAGGACAUUCUUCGGAGAUUUAAGUUUUCUGCCCUUGCUCAGACAUUUUCACAGAGGCACCAAGAGUCUGGCUGAUUGGCCCAGCUGUGGCCCACAGCGUGUCCUGGCUGGAGCAGCUAUGUCUGGCACCUGGCAGCCCCAGGCCUCUUCCUCCCACAGAGGUCCCAACUGCAGCCCUCCUGCCGCCAAACCUUUCCAUUGGCAUCCAACACAGCCUCUAAGGGAUGAGCGUUUGCAGCCCUAAGGUACUUCUGAAGGCCCGGAGCCAGUCAACAUGGGAAGAACACUGGGAUCUGAAUGGGAUUUAGGCUGGGUGCCUCUUUUUAAUGAAGUGGUGGACUCAGCUCCUGUGGGCAAAUCAUCAUUGAUAAGGAGAGACAAAGAGACACACCGUAUGUGAAUUUUCAACCGUCUUCACAGAAAAGAACUUCCAUCAAUACCUUAAACAGAAGUUGACUGGAAGGAAGCCACAGCAGUAUGUUAAGAGCUUUCACUGGGGCAGGUCUGAAAGACACAACAAAAAUGUUUCAUUUGGAAAAUACCAUGAGGACCUGCUGUAGGACUGCCAAAGUAAACCGUUUCAUUCUGGAGGAGGUCGAAGUGAAACAUCUGUCAGUCUAGUCAUCUUUGUGUCCUUCCACUGAAAAAUGGAGCCGAGGGGAAGGUACAGUUCAGCAAGAAAAGAAAAGGAAAUUCUCUCCCUUCUCUUAACUGUUUCUGAAAACCGAGCCAUCAUACUGAAGAGCCUGACUCGCAGACUUAGUGGGAAUUAUGCCUAAGCCAGGUAGCAAGAAAAGUUCCAUGGAAGACAACUUCCAAGUCAAACAAUUUCUGUAGGUCUGGGUUUGAAAUCCUCACCCUGGAAGUCUUAACUUCAGCCUUAACAUCAGCUAACUCAGUUUCUGGUCUUAUUAAAACAACAUGAGAAGGAAAAAAACCAGGCACCUCCCUCUCACUGCUGCAAUGUAAGUUAAUUCCAGUACUGUAAACACCCUAGGGUUACAUUCAUGUAACUUAAAUACCAAUAAGGGAAAUAAAAAAGCCUACAAUUAGUGAAUAGCUUUUUCUAAAAAAAGGUGAUUUUAUUGAGUUUUAAUAUACAGCUUUAAUAUGUUAGGGUAAUCAUACAAGAUCUCUCGUGUUCAAUUUACACAUUACAAUACAGACGUGAGCUAAAAUCUUUUGUUUUAAUGUACAAAAGGAAUCCAAUGUUGUCCACUAGCAGCUUUGAACUUGGCAAGAAAGGUUCUAGAGACUUUAAGUGCAGUAACAACCAUACAGAAUACAAAAUGAAUACAAGGACUUUUCGCCAAGGUAUAUAAACAUUUGAAAACAAAUGGUGCCUGCUCCACAGGGCAGACAACUGGCAAAUUAAAACAAGUCACUGACCAAUGUUCCAGAGUAGAAGGAGCAUUACCCUGUGUAACAGUUCUUAUAAAAUAUCCUAAGAAUAUCUGUAUCAAAUAAUUUGUACUGAUCAGAAAAAAGGUCUGAGAAGAAACAGUAGGCAAGGAACUGAACAAUCAAAAAUGACAUAGUAACAUAAAAUAUUUCCAUCACUAUUUAAAUGCCAAAUUAAAUCAAGCAAUAGUAAAAACAAAACAGAAACAAAAACAACAACAAAGAAACAGAAAACUAAAGCUCUUCUGUUUAAAAUAACAGCACUGUUUUUGCUUAUUUUCAAUGAUUUUUUUUUCUUAUGAACACACUAUAUACUUGAUUAUUUCUUUCAUACAGAGUAAUGUGUCCAUUCGGUUUGGUCUGUCACUUCAGUGAAGCUGAUUGGCAGUCAGCCCAUCACAUCUCACCUUUGACACAUAUUUAAUGCUUUUUUCCUCUUACGUUCACUACUCUGGUGCCUCCUCUUCUCAAGUUAAAUACUUCUUCUUCUUUUUCUUUAUACAGUGCAGAGUAUAUGGGCUUAGGAUAUGGAGAUUUUCCUCUACUCCAGUUCACUGUCUAGUUCUGAGUUCAGUGGUGUGCAGUAGUUUGGCUUGUCUGAAGGUACGUACCCUGGGAGACACAAACACUUGUACGAACCUUCUGUGUUAAUGCAUUUGGCGUUCUUGCAGAGAGACAUCCUGUUGUUCAGCUCAUUGCACUCAUUCACAUCUGCAAGAAGUGGACAGCAAAACACAUGUAACUUCAGCGUGCUGCAUAGGUAAAACACAUUUAUUUCUAGCAUUGGCAGGAGUGGAGUAUGCUGUAGGAAGACACUGAGAACUACAUACUCAGUUAAGAUCAGGUGGUAUUAGGCUAGUCCCAAAACUGUAACACACAAACAUUUUGUUGGGAAGAAGUAGUAGUUACCACAUGAAAUCAAUGUAUUUGAAAACCUUAAAUUGUUAUGUUACAGAGUCAGCUUAAGCAGUGACACAGAACUUUAAUGACCACUUACAGGUUUUUAUUUGCUUGCAUAGAAGUAGCUCUAUAAGAAAGGUGUUGCUGGUUCUCAGUAUAAUAUCUGUAUUUAAAAAUCAAGCAGGUAUUUCAAGCCUUGCUGGUGCUGCCAACUAAACAGUUAUGAACAGCAAAUUACCUGCAUUCCAUAAUGUGCAGCAUUUGGCCUGAUAUACCCAGAGCUAAGGAAGGCAGUUUGCUGUAAAGUUCUAGAGAUCACAAGGCGUGCAGGUAAGUUUACCACGAUACAGCUAGGAGACCAAAGCUGUGCGUUACACAGCACACUGCUAGGCAGGGUUAGCAUGGACACUGAGGAAUACAUACACCCCCUCUGUGAUAGGCUCUAUGCUGAGAAGUGCUGGUUGUUUUGCUUCAUCUUCUCCCUGCCACUUCACCUUUCCCUGUUUUUUGAUUGUAUACACAGUCACUAGAUGUCCCGGUUGUCUGUUGUGCAGAUUGACUGAUUUAAGAGUGAGGGGGCAGACUGUUUAUUUUCACUGCUGAAGUCAGUGAGAAUUAGUGUACCACAUCCUGCCAAAUGGAUAUCUGAAUAUUUGAGAGAUCUGAAUAUUUGGGAGAUCCAAUUGCUUUAAGAACUGCUCCUAAAGUUAUUCUUCUGCUCUGGAUCCAGAUCUAUUCUCUCAAUUUGGUUUUGGAAAAGCUUUGCUCUUCAUGUUACAGUGUUGCACUGUUGAUACAAGUUUAAGCUUCAUCGAACAAGGGUGUGUCUCUUCAUUUCUAGGCUCUUAACUGAACACAGCUGUCACAAACUGAUGAACAGCAACACAGUUACUGCUGUAGCCUUUGCAGUAACUCAAGCAUAAAGUUGACAUACUUAAUAGAAUUUAGGUGAUCAUCAGUAACCUCUUCUUUUUUUUUUUUUUCUUUUUCUUUUUCUUUUUUUCCUUAGCCCUGCUUAGGUCAAAUGACUGAAAAAAACUGACAGGCUAAGAGAAGAAUAAGUAGUAAAUAUGCUAUGCUCACCAACACAAGUCAUCUUGGCCAUGUCCAGGUGAUAACCAUCAAAGCAGUCACAGGUGUAGCCCUCCUGCACUCUCACACAUCGGCCAUUUUCACAUCCAUUUAGAAUACCACAUUCCUCUGCCUGUAACUCCUCAAAGCUGUUCAGAAAACCUGAGUGAAGAAAGAAUUACAAACAAGUAAGUUAUCGCACUGCUGAAUGUAGUAUACAUACACCCAAACACACAGUGAGACUGAAAUUCUCUCAGGUUUACUGGAAUGUGAGUUGACUUUGCAGAAUGCAGGUCAGCUUCAGCAGAGCUACACCAUCUGGAGUUGUAAACCCACUAGAAGAGUGCUCUGAUGUAAACUGAAUGACUUAGCGAAUGCCGUGCUUUCAAACUGUGUUUAAACACCUGAGGGUUGGUUUUUGUUUUUGUUUUGUACAUGAAGCUGCAUGCUUUGUCAAUUUUUUUAAGGAUAAAGCAGUGUUUUUUCAGUUGUUUUAUUUAAUAUUUAAGUAUAUUGACAUAUGUGUAAACAAAGGUAAGCAGUGGCAGUGCAGUCCGGGACAAAAGAACUUCACAAUGGUAUUCUGGAAAAGUGAGGUGUGAUUAUGGGGGAAAACUCAGUUGCCUUAAGGAAAGUAAGAAGAAAUCAGAUACUGCUUUACUGGUGUGGGUUUGUUUAAUAACUGUUUGGCUGGUACUUCAGCUAUCAUUGCCAGUACAAAUACUUGUAAUCUACCCAUCGUUCCAUGUCAUAAUUCUCAAUGGUGAGUAGCCAAAGGCUCCCUGUUUUAUUAUUUUUUAGGCAGUUAUGAAUUUAUGUAUAAAGAAGGAUAGGUAUUUAAAAAAAAUUGACAUUUGUACACAUUCAGAGAUUUUCUGCAAGACUGAAUUGCUCCUCUCAGUUCUGCGUAAAUUUUUCAACCAGCUUUCCAUUCACUGAGCUGUUUGUAACAGGACUGCAGAUGGCAGCCCAUCACAUCAAAAGGCCUUCUAAGGAAAAAGGCUGGAGCAUGUGAGACUAUGUUGGCCUACCAGCGUAAUGAAUAUAUAGUGCAGAAGUGGAAGUGAAACUGGGGCUGGAAUAGAAUGGAGUAUACAUUCUAUACAUAUACAUCCCCCCUCUGCCCCAUAAUAUAUGCUUAGAUGGAGUGAAAGCACAAACCAUCGUUUAUGUAAAACCUGGUUACCUAUUCAAUGUUACAGCAGUCGUAACCGAUUUGCAAAGCCACCUUGGAAUAGAAAUUUCUCCCUUUCCCGCUGCUUGUUCUCCUGUCUUUUCCUACACACUUUACCCUGUUCUUGAGCCUCUCUUUUCUCUCCUCCUGCCUUGCUCUUUCUACUCUGCCCUUUCUGUACUGUCCUCCAUUUAACUUCUGUGUUGUCAUAUGCGCUCCCUGCCCCUCUUUGGCUAUACAUACCAUCACUUUUCUUCUCUGAAUCAGUGAUGAGCUAUGUUGGACCUACACCGAGUGGCUGAUUUUGAGGAAUAUACUGAGGUCCGUAAGGAUUUAUUUCCCUCAGGCCUUAACAGGAAGCUGGGCUAGAUCCAUCAACAACCUGGACAUCUGAGACAUACACAAUCCCUCACACCCUGCCUGCAGCCCAUUCCAGCCUGAAGGCUGUAUGCAUGCAUGCUCUCUGAUCAUCCUUUGUUCUGUAGUUUUGCUGCAGAGAGAGAACAGCUUGCACGCUCUCCACUUCUUCCAUAUGAAUUGUGCUGGAAAAUCAUGAAAUACUGGCAUGGAGGUAUUUCUUUUCUUUUUUCCUCUGUGUGUGUGUGUGUGUUUUCAACUAAAUGUACUCCAAAGAAAUCUGUCCCAUGCUCCAGCGGAAAAUUAAUUUGUGAGAAAAAAAACUGGCACUCCUCUCUACCUUCAGCUGUAAAUCUGUUAGUAAAUAUAAAUUUAGUACAUUUGGCACAGAAUGCUCUACUGUAUUAAAAAUUAAAAUUGUACUCUGAGCCCAACUGGACUCUUACACAACACUGGCUCUUGAACCAGAACACCUGACCGAAAGCUAAUGUCAUAGGAAUAACUAAAACAUAAAUAGGACACAUUACUCAGAAGCAAACAGAAGAAUAAAGCCAGCUACAGGGAAGUAAUCCAAGUUACAACCCUCAUUUCAAGCAUUUUACAUAACAGAGAAACUUGCUUACGGUCUUCGACAAAGUAUGGAUUAGUUUCUGGAGUGUAGUGCUCCUCAAAGUCAACCAAAGCAUCUUGUCCAUAUGGCCGUCGAGAUCCUGGAACAGGAAUGUUGCACAGCUGGGCAUAAUCCUCUGAGGGGAGAAAGAAAAGAGGAUAUAAAACUAAUCACACUUGUAAAACAGGCUGUGUUGCAUUAGUCGCAGUGCAUUGUGGCUCAUAUUAGCUGGAAACAAACCUAUCUUCCUAGAAACACCAUAAAUCUGCGAUUCCCACAAAUCAUUGUCUCUUCAAGAAGAAUGUCAUUAAAACGUAAUGAGCCAAAUGCAGACUAUUAAGUCAUAAUAGGGAUAACACCAGAGAUGGAUUUUAGUCAGUAACUGUACCAAAAGUUAUGGGUUAUGUUCUUCUGGUCUGCUCUUGCCUUGAGCGGAGGGAUGCUGUGUGUCCCACUGCCAGUGCACCCUGAGCAGAACUGGCUGUGCUUAUGCUCUUUGCUGCUUUAAUAAAGGCUCUCCCAGCCCUUUGUCUGCUAGCAGAAGACAUCCCAAAGGAAGCAAAAGAGGCUGUAUUUCUGGCAGUGCCAGCCAACCUGCAGAAAUCACAGAAUAAAAAACCCUUCCAAAAUAGCAUGCGCUCCUUUGCAAACCAUUCUUCAAACCACAGGCUUAAUUGUCAGUGCUGUUCAAGGUCUGCUUGGCUGCAAACCUGACAGGGUGAGGGGAAACGUAUGGGAGAAAUGGCUACACUGAAAUUCUGCCUCUCAAGUGAAAACAUACCAAAGCAGCUCUUCAUUUUAGGUGUCAGACUCCAUGUCUGAAAUGCUGGUAUACAGAGUUUGAUUUUUAUUUUUUUUUCAAUUUGAUUUAUUGUGUUCCCUCAGCUUGUCUCCUGUAUUUUUAGUAAAUGGUAAUUUAUUUGAGACUGGAAACUCAGUUAAAAUCCCGUAAUCCAGGUGCUUCUUUACGCUUGCUACAGACUGUUCAGCAUCUGUUUCUGUGAAGAUUGCCUGGUGUUCUGAGAAUCAGGCAGAGUAAGGACGGGAAUGAAAACCACCAAGAAGAGAGAGAGGAAAAAAAGCCCUAAGUAGAUACAAAAUCCAAGAAUUGCAGAUGGUUACAGAGCCAGAAACCUCACACUGUGUUGAACUGUCCCAGACAGCAAAUAGUCGGAUACAUCCAGACUGCCUCCAGACAGCCCCGAGGACAGCCCCUUUUGCUGCUCAGCAUUGUCUUUUGGUUUUCCUAGGUACUAUCAUCUCCUUCACACGGGAUGGUUUCACACUGUACCAAAAAGAAUAAGGUGCUCAAAAGUCUGCUUGAAUUCUGUGGCCAGCAAUUCAGCUCUUGUGAACGUGGAACACUAUACUGAGUGCAGAGCUCGCCAUUGCAUUUUGCAAAACUGUCACUGGGUUCCAGCCAAGUCUGCAGAAUGCAACUCAGAAAUCCUUCUAAACCUCACCACCUUCUGCUCCAAGUGCAAGGUGAUGUCCUCUGUUUUGCUCCUUUAUAUCGUAUUUAGACACAGUAAUCUGUAUAUCUGAACAAUCCUCUCCUCCUCACGCAGGUGAAAAAAAGACACUGCCCAAGAGGGAUAUCCCAUGGCACUCACACAAAACAAAGCCAGCAUAAAAAACCCCCCACUAUAUAAUGUUACCUACAUCCCUAAAUGCACAGCUUCCCACUGAGUUACUACAAUAACAAACAGUUCUAACAGUUGUUAUCAGAAACACCUUAUUUUUUCCUUCCCCCUCAUUUCACUUCAAAGUACAGAAACAGCUGGGUUGUCAUCUCACACUGACUCUUCCACUGCUUUGUGCUGAGCUACUUAUUAAUGCCCGAGAGUUUUGAUAGAUAAGCAGAUGAAAGCUGUGCAGAUGUAUAAAAGCACAACUCCGAGUUGUCUUUUCAGAUUACCCUUUACUCGUUUUGUUCUUAGUAAUUUCAGCAGUACAAACAAUGGUUUUCUUCAGAGGGAAGCAGUCAGAACAACCGAAAAUCUGUAGUGCUGGAGAUUUCGUGGACAUGAGAUAACUUCAAGAUUGUGCAAGAUUAGUUUGUCUUGCAUAUUUGUCCAUGCAAUAUUGUUUAUUAUCUAAAUAAGAAUAAAGAAAUGUUGACAAGAGAAGUUUGUUUCCUGCCAUACCGAUCCUUUGCCAGUCAUGUUGUGAAAUGUCUGCAUUUUUAGGUCUCAUAGCUAAAUUAGUGGCAACAAAAUGAUGAAGAGCUGUUUUAGACCUUGCUGUAAGAUUUGCCUUAGUUACAAUGAGCUUUAACUGUAUCAAUGUCUUCUACAAGGCUACACCUACAACUGUAAUACUGUUAAAACUCUUGGAGUCCAUCACUCUUAAUUAACCAUUUGUUAAUGCAGUCUGAUCCUUAGUAGUUCAUACAUUACCUGUAUAUAUAGCUCUAGUACAGAAGCUUGCAAAGCAUUUAAGUAGUCUUAACUUUACAAUGUAUACAGCUAUGGUACCUAUAUAGAAUGUACACACUUGUUUUGAUACAUACUAUGAUGACUUUGCAAUUACCUAUAAUAUCCUUUGUAUACUGUAUGCUCUUUUUAAUUGUCCCAGUAAUGUGUUGAUUCAGCUACUAGAUAAACCCAAGGAGAGCAGCAGCAAGCCACGUAAGAAAUCAUAAGUAGAAAUUCAGGACCAAUAACCAAAUGCACCAUGUAGUUGUGGCUGCUUUUCUCCCUAGGGAAGGAAAGGGUGGGCAGAGAGGAGAGUACAACGAUUGGAAGGCACGAGGAGGGACACGCUAUGGAAAAUCAUGAGAACUGGCAUUUUGAAUCAAGGUCAGUUAGGGACUUGGAUGCCUUUAGAUUCCCUCUCUGGAUGAUAGAACAAGUUAUUGCGAGACAGAUGUGUAUGUAGAAUUGUUGUUUUAAACUUUUCCCCUCACUUUGCUAUGUUCCUACAGUUCCAAUUAAAAAUAUAUUUUGGGUCACCGCACUACGCUGGUCACAGUUUCCCAGGGAAGCAAAUUAAAACAAAGUGCUGUAAGAUACGUUGGUGAAGACAUACAAAUAGUGCACGGAAAGCUGCAGCAAGUGUACAAAUGAGUGAACAGCACGAUGCUGCCCCAGGGAGAUGGCUGCAGGAGAAUGACAUCGUGAAGGCAGGAGGGAGGCAGAGAACAAGGAGGAAUCUGUAACAACCUCUGAGUUACAAAAACAUUUUAGCUGUCACAGAAAUUAAUGCUCGCUUUCAAAAUAGUCUUUCAUAUAAAAUGGUGAAAAAAGUGCUUUCUGUAAUCACAGUCAGUGGCGGAACUUUUUUCACAUGGAUUCAUUUUCUCUGCUAGCUCAUCUCCUGGCUGCGAUCAGCAAUAAUAAUACAACCACAGUUACAGAGGAAAAGGGCAAUGUUUUUAAUAGGAGUUAAUCUGUGUUGCCCCAUAUCCUUCUGUGUUUUUCUCAUCACAUUCAAAUAAAGCGUCGAGACAGCUUAUUGUGUAACUUAGGAGAGCUGUUAUAAAAGGAAGCUGAUAUAUGCUUCCAAAAUCAUAAAGGACAUUUUCUAAGGCAGAUGCAUGCACAUAUAACAAAUAUGUUCUGGGAUUACAGCUAGAUGCUCAUGCAUACCGGCACAGAUGUUAGCCAUAAUUGGUGGUGAAAGCUAGGCUGACAAGACGACAAAACAUAAAUGGGAUGGAUUGACCGCUCUGAGAUUCUUGUUAGCACACAUGCAGCUGUGCAUCUCAUUUGCAUAAAGUUGUAACUACACAAGCCUGUGCAGGCCUUCUUUGCACCUGGAGUCAUAGAAAUACUAAACUCUCUAGUCAGAAAAAACAUUCCCUACUUCAUGCAUCUAAGACAAAAUACGAUAUUAAAACAGCGUUUCUUAACAUAACCAUGAUUGAAUUGCAGCCAGUCCUCCCUCCUGCCUAUAAAGCAAGCUUUAUUUCUCUUCCAGCUUCUUAGAACUGUCAUCAUCACACAAACUAAAAAGCAGCCAAGGCUAUCAACACCAUGGCAAUCCCUUCAUGUUAUUUAAAAAUGCAACAGAUAGACUAUGGAAGACAUUACUGGAGGGAAAGACAAAGCCAAGAAAACAUGUACUACAUGUAACAAAUGUACCUCCCCAGUCAGAGCUUCUGGACAUCGGUCUGAAUAGGCUGAGUUUCUGCUGUCUCAGGAGAUUGCAUCAUUUGUGAACCACAGCUGAGAACAUUUCUGUACUACCUUCAGACUGUGCUGUUUGACAAUUUAGAGAAUUUUAUCAACAUCUUUUAUAAACAGAUGCUGAGGUUUGCUGCAUUCAUAUAUAUGCUACAACUCUUGGUACUCAAGAAAACAUGAAGGGUACCAGGACUUUUCAUGACAUAACAUGUCUUUGCAUGAAGAAACUCUAAAUGAAAUUGCUGAGGAAAACUCACAGUGGAUAUAAAGCUCUGGUUAAAAUUGAAGGAAGUACCAAUCUCAUUAUACUAAAAUCUUCCUCUGAGCAACAUAUUUCCUAAAACAAGCUUUUCUCCUAUUGCUUGUGGUACAUUGUUAGAAGUCAGACUGUUUCUGCCACAGCUUCGCAAAUGGCCUUCUGACUCCUUGCUGACUUACACAGAUACUUGGAAUAUGAGGUUCCAUGAGCAAAACCCUUCCAAAGUUAUUCUGGUAGACUUCAGAAAACACACUGAAAAUCACUGACAGAAAUGAAAGCAGCCAAAAAUCUGCACAACUGAGCAUAAGACUUUAAAUAUUCAAGACCCAAUCACCGCUACUUUCUGUGCCCCAAAAGUAAUUCACUUGUCCAGGAUCCUUACCAGAAAGGAAGCAGGCACAAUGCAAUCCUAAAUGGAAAGAUGAACAAUGAUCUCCAGAAAUCAAUCCAGUGCCUCCCUGCUGAUCUUUACCAUCUUGAAAGAGUACAGAUGGAAACUCAUCAUUUAUACACAUUGGUUUCCCUUGUACUUCAAGAUCUUCACGAGUGACACUAGCCAGAACUCAGAGAGAACAACAUGUUCUCAUAAUAUGGAAGCUCAGCCCAGAACUAACUCAGAAUGUUUACUAAGGAUACACAAAGUUCCCUGCCACAAAAAUGCAAUCCAAAUAAUCUGUUCUGCCAGAAGCCAUGAAGUUCAACCACCAUGUGUAGGCAUCUCCACGGUCUGCACCUGAGUUAGUCAUCCAGUGCUCCUUUUUAGUCCACUGAAAGACAUAACUACUUUUAGGACACCAUCUCAUCCUGAAGUAGAUGUGUAGAACAGGUCAGACAAAUCUAAUCCUCAGGGUGCUUAUUUCUUUUUCCUGGUGGACUGGGAAGCUGGUAGGGCCGAAACACAUACAGGUUUUCAGUAUAGAAAGCAUGAAAUUGGCCAAGAGGAAUCCUACGUUAUGUAAUACUCCAGAUGACUCACAUUAGCCACUGCCCUCAGUAGUUCUCUCAGUAGUCUGGCCUUUGCCUAUACUACAGUGGAGAUGAAGAGAAACUAGGUGCAACGUGAGUCUUCAGCAGUUCCUGAUAACACAAAACACAGAGUCAGAGAAUUGUAGGAUGGUUUGAGUUCGAAGGGACCUUAAAGCCAUCAAGUUCCAGCCUCCCUGCCAUGGACAUAGGCACUGUCUACUAAGAAAGUAUAAACUGUAACAUCUACUGACUGGAAUUUCCAUUGCUAUUUCUGUAGAUCUUCUAAACAUAAAAUGGUUCCAAUUAAAAUGUGUGUCCACAAACAAUCAGAGUAAAACACUGAAAAAGUAUGUGUCAGUUUAAACAGGUAAGCAGGCUGAAAAAUGGAACAGUAGUAUUCUCUACAGUUGCAGGAGUGUCCUAGUGACAUUACCUUAGUAGUCAGACCACCAAGUUACACGUGCUGUAUAUUCUGCUACAGAUGCAGCAGUGUACCCUCAUCCUCAGUAAAUAGUUAUUAAAAUGUCUGUAAGAAAUGCAGAGCUGCAGUCCUACCACCUUUUUCCAUAUCAGAACUUCUCUUGGCAGCUACCUGCAUACAGGAAGAAAAGACAUCCCCCUUAACAGGCUGGUAUAUCUUUAGUUCAGGGGCACCAACUCCACCUUCCCAGCAUCCUAAGCUGCCUACUGAAGCAAAGGAGGUACUGCACUGCAAAAAAACAAAGUCCUAGGCAGGUUUCUGAAAAACAUUUUACAAAUAUAAAAGCAGACAGCCUCCUUAAAUUAAACACUGACCCCGACACACUUCUUUACUCAAUAUUUUCUAACUUUUACUUCUAUCCCCUCCCUUCAAACUUACUGUACUGUGAAACAACACACCUUGCCUAACAUCCAUUUCCAUCCCGUAAGGGUCUUACGGGAGCUUCUGGAGUAUCAGCAGGUUUUUAAUGCGGGUGUUACAUGUUUGGGUUAGCAUGAGAUGUCUAUGGCCUAAUUCUGGAUUCCAGAUUUUUUUCAGUCUUGGCCUAUUUCUCUGUUUUCUGGCAUGGAUCCUUUGACCCAGCUGUUAAACCCAUUGGAGUCUGUCCUGAUGCCAAUUACUAGAGCAUGCACUCCAUAUGGAAAUUGUUGGGUCUUCACAACACUAACAGUAAAUUGAGUGAAGAAGCAGAACAUCUGAAGGCUGGUUGGCUGACAGGUUUUCUGAGGAAAGGAUGCUCUACUUUUAUUAUCUAAAAAAAAAAUAUCCACUCUUGCAAACUUCAUAAAUCUGUCAAUUAUUAGAGAUUGCAAAUGAUAUUUAAAAUUUCAAAUGGGCUUUUAAGAAACUGAGAGGUUUCCCAAAGAUAAUAAGUGAAAGUUCCUUGGACGAGUACAGCUUCAGAUUGCAGUAAUUCCAGGAAAAGAACCAAUACUUUUAAAUUUUCAAAACUUUUCAACUUUGGUAUUGGAUGAGAUCAGUGAAACUCUUUUUCUGUAAUAUGAUGAUAUCAUAAGAUUGUAAUGUUAGAUGCAAUGUAAUUGAAAUCAAACGGUCCUUGCUUCCUUCUUUCAAUGAUAAGAAGGCCUACCCUGCAAAAUUGUUAGUGCAAAUAAGCUGUAUUCAAUCACAUCACUAUAUUUGAUGUUUGCACUAUUUUUAUCAGGAUUUUGAAUUAGUAUUUUGAGUUUGUUCUUUGGUUGCGUCAUCAAAAUACUUACUAGCCUUACCUCUGGUAAGAUGUUGCUGUUCAGCUGCAAUACUUAAACUAAUGCUAGUUCUUUUUGUCUCAGUCUCCAAAUACGUAGUGUCAUUUUCAGGACUAUUUGUUUGAUCAAGCACCAGAAGGUAGGAGAAUCCCCAUCAGUAGUUUUCAAGAAUGAGAGCAACUACAUAAAUUCUAUUUUCAUGCUGACGAAUGGAUGGAUUUCGUUUUCAUUUAUGUGGAUCAACUCUUUAUCUCCCCACUGUUUUUAUGCUGGAUCUUAUUCAAACAGGAUAUUUAAAUCUUGUAAUGAAAAAUUUGAGUGCUUUCAGAAAAGGCUGGGACACAAUAUGCAUUUCUUUUAGCAGGUGCUUAACGUUUUAUCACUCAUAGCUGUAGCCCUGUAUUUCCUUCUAACUGCAACAUUUAGAUCCUCAGGUAUAAGAUAAUUAAGAUAAUUAUUAUGUUUAUGUCCUGUAAAUCUUAAAUAUCUUAUAUAAGCAGAGUAUAGAUAACAUAAGAAGAAACCACAGAUCAUCUGCUGAUGUAGUUAUCUAAUCCAGUUCAUGGUGAAAGUCUUUCAGUGGUAAUGCAUCUCCAGGUCUUCUUUUACAUGUGUCACAAAUCUUCAGAACGCCCCUAACUUGGAAAAUAAGCAAACACCUUCAGUAGUAAAUUUGGCCAACACAAUACACAGCUAUUUGAAAAUGGAGAAAUUCCAGGUUCUACAGCCAGGACUUGAACCUGUGACCUGCUGGCCCAGAGGUGUGAAAGCACUCUCUUGAGCCAAUGAUAUCACUUUAAGUGCUACAAACUGAAGACAUGUCAAAUGAAUCAUUUAUUCAGUUCAGUCAGCUUCAAAUUUUUCUUGGUAAAUGUUCCUGAAAACAGAGAAAGGUUUCCAGGUUUGUGUGUGUCCACAUGCACGUGUGCAAGGACACAUGAGCAUGUACCACCUACACUAAGGAAUGCUGUUUUUUCUGACAUACUGAAGAUUCAGUAUACUUUUGUUCUUUUUAGCUCUCUAUAUUCCAAUCCAAUUUAAGUAGUCUGAGAUCAAAGUAUGCCUUAUACUUUCAUUUAAGGCAGAUAUUUUGCAGUGCUCUUCAGCUUUGGGGACCAUCCAAGUGACUUUUGGCAUCUUGUUAUCCAUCGUGAUCCUUCCUAUCAUUUCUUUAAAGAAUUACUCAAGUAUUUUCUAGUUAGUUGGGAUCUGCAUCCCACCACUGGCACAGGGUUGCUGCUCCAGAAUCCACAGGAUUCUGGAUGGAUCAAAACGGAUCUAAUUUUAAGUCUAAGUAUGUUCACGCUGAACUUGUUCCCUCAUUAUCUUAAAUUAAUACCAUUAUUUAAAAGCUAAUGGGACUCUCCUAUGAUGUUGAUAUAGCAGAGUCUUACCAUUUGCAACCCUUACUCUGCAUUUAAGUUUGGCUUUUUCCAUCUCCCCUUGUAAGAUGGGUUCUCCAUUCCCUGAGCAUCAUGGUAGUUCUCUGUUCCUUUUCGAGUAGUUUACUCUACUUUAUUCAGCUCUUUCUUUCCAUCUGAGGAGCUCCAGGUCAAAGCAACAAUUCUCACCAUGAAUUAUUGCCUUGUAUUUUUUUUUUUUUUUGUCAUUCCAUUUCAAUUGUUAUUCUAGCUGGUGUAGUAAUUUCUUUCCAGUACAUGUCCUCCUAUAAGAUUUGUUGUGACACAGACGUUUCAGAGAGUAUAAAUCCAGCUAAUGUCAUGCUAUUUUAGUUCUUCAGUCUCCUGAAGAAGAGUGAGCAUUAACCAGUAGUUAAUCUAGCCAACAUUAAAGUCAGAUAUUUUUUUCAGCUGCUGUGCUUCCAAAGCAAACUCAAACACAGAAAGAUAUAUAUGAACAGGUUCAAGGAACUUGCAAGUGAAUUCUAAAAACAUAAAACCCAAGCAGACAAGAAUACAGUUCCGUUAGUACUUUGAUGAGCUUUUCUGUGUACUUUGAACCGUAUUACUGAAAGACACUUUGUAAGAAAGUCACAUCCAAACUAGGCCCUUCAAUAGUUUAUAGGGGUGAAGAAGUUACACUGAUUGCAUACAAGUUGCUAUGGUACCAGAUUCUGUAAUACCAGGGCUGUUAAAGUUACUGAUGUAUCAUCUCAUGUGCUCACAUACAACUCUGUUACUUCCAUGGGUCUCCUCUCCAGUCCUCAGCUCACAGAAAAUGUGUGUGUCAAUAACAACAUAUCUCUAUAUCUGUUUAGCUUUGGUAUUCACCACAAGACAUAGUUUCUACUUGAAAUAUCUUGGAACAAUGACUAAUUUCUAAACACUAAACCAAAACGUCAUAAAAAAAUAUGACCUGUUAGUCAAUUUGUGCUCUGAAACACUCUUUAACAACCUUGGAAAUCCUUUACUCCAUACUCGUACUCCAUUUCCCUUACCUAUCUUAAAUUGCUUCUCUAAACAUUUCAUAAUAACUGAGCAUGUAACCAUAUAAUAACAACAAUUUAUUUGAUUUAGUGAUUUGAAACCACUAUUUAGCAGACCCUUAUCAAGCAAACAUCUAUUUGCAGCCAGCCUGGCAGAACGUCACGCUGAAAAUAUAUCUUUAUGUGUAAUACCUGCCACAAAAAUUGGAAACAUUUAUGUAGCCUGCCGAGUAUUAGCAUGUGUGGGCACAAUAACUGUGCAUAUCUUUUCAGAGGUAGUUUUUAUUUUCUCUUUCAUGGUAUUCUGCUAUCCUUAAGAUGCCCUCCUAUUUUCACCAGGGUCCUCCACUGCCAGUCUCUGAGAGAUUCACUGAAAAGAAGUGGGUCCAGUAUGUGCCAAAACAUAAAAGCAGCGCAUUUUCAAAAUCUGGACUGUAAUGACUUCCCCUUAAUUAGGGAGAACAAUUUCCAUUAGCUUUUGAAGGGUUACGGGUUUUUUGUUCAUUAUUAGCCCACGUGCAGAUACAAGAGAUUAAACAUGUCAGAAUUUGUUCCAAGAAUGGAAACAUUAAUUUCCUUACCUGAUUCCUUCAUCGGACACAAGGCACACUGCAUGCCCCAGGCUUCACCAUACAAGCAACAGCACUCAGUGUAUGUAGUCUGCUUUCCAACCAGAGGUCGACUACAAACAAAAUCGUCACUUAGAUGCUGCCAGCAAAGAUCCUGGUAGACCUCAGUUUCUUCAGUUUGUUCUGAUGGAGAAAAAAGUAUUAUAUCAUCUUUGCAGCACUAUUAUUUUUAAAAAAAGAUACUAGCAUAAUGCAGAGCUUUGUAAAUACACACUAGAGAUUAACCUAACUUUACUGCUCAUGAAUCCACGACAAGACAGACUUUACUAAAUAUAAAUUUAAGCAUUUUUAAAGGCUUGGCGACUCACCCCUUGAGAUUCUGAUUUUUCAAUGGCAUUAUUAGACACAUAAUACACAAGAACUAAUAUUUCUGAAGGAAAUAGCCAUUCAUUAAUGAUAAUUAUUAUUAGUUAUUAUUAACAGUUAACAAUAAUGAUUAAUAAUUAGUUAUAGGACUAGACGGAAUGGCCUCAAGUUGCGCCAGGGGAGAUUCAGGUUGGCUUUUAGGAAAAAUUUCUUCUCUGAAAGAGUGGUGAGGCACUGGAAUGGGCUGCCCAGGGAGGUGGUGGAGUCACCAUCCCUGGAGGUGUUCAGGAAAAGUUCAGAUGUUGUACUAAGGGAUGUGGUUUAGUGGGAAGUACUGGCAGUAGGUGGACAGUUGGACUGCAUGAUCUUGGAGGAAUGUUGCUGAAUGCUUAGCACUGACUCAGCUUUCCUCGCAUGGAAGUUUGCAUAGCUCUAAAAAAACAACAACAACAAAACAAAAAAAAAACAGUGUUAGGACACUGGUGAAUAUUUGGGGAAUUAGUGGAAUGAACCUUUAAUAAGGGUUACUUUGCUUUUCUUACAUGACCAGCAGUGGCAUCAACAAGGAACUGUGACUGCUAGGACAGAGCUGAAUGACAAUUUUACAUGGGCUCAACAGGAGACUGGAUAAAUACUUGGAAGAGUCCCAUUAACUAAACAAACUGCAUCAGACUAAUGAAAUCCCAUCAGCUGAAAAUAGUUAGAGGCUGGGAUAAUGUUGGGGGUGAGGGGAAGCAUUGUUUAUCUGCACUUCUGGUCCCUAAUAAUCCACUUACAGUUAUUGUUAGAGAUGGAAUACUGCUGUGAACUACUGUCACAUUCUUAGGAACAUUAGCAAAACAUGUAUUUUUGUCAGAGCUGGAAUGUUUCAGAGGCAUACAAGUUCUUACAAAAUUCUCAGCAGCAACAAUUAUUUCCCAGUCCUAGCAAUCUGAUCACUGUUGAUCAGAGAGAAAAGAACGGAAAAGUUAAUCUACUUGGAAAGUAAAAACCGCAGCACAAUUGUUUUGUAAAAACAUCUGAAAGGUUUCGAUUUUGUUCUGACACAGAACAAAAAAUAAGAGUUGUCACAAACCAAAAUCAUGCAAAUAUUAACUGCAUUUUUACAUGAUAUGGCACAAGAUGCCACAGUGCACGGGUAAGUAUACAACAAAAAAUCUACAGUGUGUUCUGCAAGUGUGAAGAUCUAGGUAGAUUCUCUGCUAAGAGCUUGCCAGAACAUGCAGUGAAGAGCAGCACUGGUUAUCUGCAACCAGCUCCAAAUCCUGCUGGUAGCAGAGGAACUAGCGUGUGCUGUCCUAUGCAGCAGGGAGGACAGUGCCCGUAGUGAUCCAAGGCUUGAGUGCUUUGUGCUGGGUGAAAAGGUCAUUGGUGUACUGGCCGCAGUAUUGAAUGAUGGAACACCCUUUUGGGCCCUUUUCUCUUCAAAUCCUAGAUGAAAGCAAAGAACAAUCCUGCUUUUGGUUUGCUUAACUCGGGACUGAACCAUAGGAAUGCUGCUGUUCUUUCACGGUUCCAGGCAAGAGGAUGACUACAUUGCUCCUCAAAAAUACCAGUUCUGUAAUUCUGCAUGACUAAACCAGGCACUUGGUCUGUAUAUCCACAUUUCCUUUCACAGAAGCACCUUAGGAAAACUUAGUGAGAGUUGCAGUGACCAGAGGUCUGGAUUAUGGUUAUACAAUGCCAGUACAAAUAAAAAACAUAAUGUUUCUUUAAGAGUUGAGCAUGGCAUGGACUAAGCUGUACAGACUGAAUAAUGCUCUGGAUUUCUGAAACAUUUCUAAGAAUCUCAGAAUAGCUGACAUCUUUUUCAGAAAUCAGUGGCUGCUGAAAUCAAAAGAACAAGAAAAAAAAAUUAUUUAAAUCGUGCCAUUGUAGCUCACGGCUUGAAAAUGUGAGCCUGAUGUACCCUCAAAUAUUAAUCAACUGAAAGCACAGAUAUAAUUUAAGCUAUUUUCUUUUAUAUCUUGUUAUUCCUGGUUUUAUUCCAAUGGUAGAAGCUCACACUCAUUCACUCUGAAUUAGAGUGGACUAACUCCACAGUUAGCCCACAGCCAAAUCCCAAUCUCUCAGAGCCUGCAAGCAAGAUGCACUUCUUUACGUACAUAGCUGUAACGGGCCAACGCAAAGCUGGAGAAUCAGCAGUGAAAAACUCCCCAGCCCAAUUUCAAUUGAUACUUCUAGCAAUCUCCUGUCUAACGUGGCAAGAUAGAGCCCUGUGGAGUGCUACAUCGUGUUGCCUUCUGGAUAAAUAGGUGAUGAAGUAAGCAAUGCCCUCCAAAAUCCUCUUGAGGAAAAAAAAGAGCAGGCUCAUCCAAGCCCGACCCAGACUAAGCUUACUGUGGUCUGUAGCCAUGUCAGCACCACCUUAUAGAGGUGUACUCACUCCAGGAAUAUAUACAUAUAAUGGAUCAUACCACUUGAAUCUGCUGGUCUGAUGCAUCGCUUUUCUGUUGCGUCCAAAACCAUUGGGUGUGUACAGAAACAGUUGUAAGAUCCUUCUGUGUUAAUGCACUGGCCAUCAAUACAGCUGUUUGGGUCCUGACAUUCAUCCGUGUCUUUAAAAUGGAAGGAAAUGUAUCAAGAAAAGCCAGCACAAAGCAGUCGCAUCGUGUUAAGCAGUGUUUAUAUUUUCUUACGUUAGGAGCAGAUUUCCCUGCAUGUCUUCUGUUAAGUACUGAAAUCCUGCCUGUGCCCACAGAGAAGAACAAACAGAUCAACAGGAUGCUGAUCUCUAAUCCUCAGAUACCAGGAAGCAUCUGGAUGAGGAGGCUUGCUGAGGUCAGAGUGCCAGGCAUACCCUGCAUCCAGCACAGCUGCAGCUGAUUUGCAAGUUCCUAUCCCCUUAGGUUAGUACUAGCAGGCAUUAGAGGUGGGCAUACUCUGAGACUCUUCAUGAGCUCAUCAGGAGGAAGGAUUAAUUUAUCUGGCCACAAUGUUUUUAGUUAGGGUUGGAGAAGCAAAGCAGAAAUUUAGCUCAAAGGGAAGAGCAGGCCUUACUUAAAAGAAAUUACAUUAAAUUAGCAAAGAAAAACAAAACCAAAACCAACCAAACUUUGUAAAGAAACAAUCUUAGAAACCCGAGGUGAAAGGCUCUCUUAUUGUGGUUGCAAAAAUUGCUUCCUUUCAUUAUACUGUUCUGCACAUUUUCCAAGGUUAUUUGCUUACAAAAUAAAAGCCAAGGUCACAGUAAUUUUUAGCUGAAUACCAGAACCAAAGGAGUACAAAGUUCUGCAGACUACACUGAGCUUCAGUGACCUGAACUGUAAUUUCACAUUGCAUAUUAACUCUUUGUGGAAAAUAAUCUGCCCUUAAAAAAAAAACACAAACCAAAAAAACAUACCUAUUAUACCUAUACCUACUAUAUACCUACUAUUAUACCAUACCUAUUAUACCAUACCUAUUAUACCACACCUAUUAUACCUACCAUUAAACUAAAAUCAGCAUGCUUAACAAAUGGACAGUGGGCUUUACCAUACUGACUUUAAGCGUUUGCCCCAUGUACAAAGAGCAGAAAUCUGAAUUUUAGCUGGUGCAGCAAAGCAGCAGUGUGUGUUUAUUGGGAGGGAGCUACCUCCAAUCACUGUGCUGCCUGGAUAAGGGCUGGUAGCAGCUCAAAACUACACUCAAGGGGGCAUGAGGAGCUGUUUUGGAGAUGCAAACUCUUGGGAGCAAUUUGCUGAGAAAGGAAGCAAAUAAAGCAAACUCUGCUCUACAUGCCAUUACCAUGUCAGCCAAAAUUGCUGCCCAGCCAAGCAGAAGGAAAGAGAAAUGACCCAGUGCCUCUGAAAAAGCUGCUACUACAGGAGUUUGGAGGCCCCGUGUACCUCCUCUUACUCAGAGUACUGCAGUUCUGGUGGGAAUUCAGCCGUUUGAGUCUGCUUGUUUUGCCCAUCUGCAUACCAUUACAGUGACAAGACCACUUUAAAUAAACUUACCAAAGCACUGGAGCUUAACAGGGUCAUAGUAUGUGCCUUGUUUGCAGUAGCACUCAUAACCUGGCUGUGUAUUCAAACAGAAGCCAUUUUUACAGAUUUCUUGUCCAAAGAGCUGGCAUUCAUCAGCAUCUGAAAAGAAAACAUUAAAGGCUGCAUUAUUAUAAUUAUUACAAGGCCACACAGAGGAGCAGAAUGGAAUAAGGCCUGUCUCUCUUCGAGUAAAGUGCACUUUAAACAGUGGGACCUAGCAGCACAGAUAUCCAUAGAAAAAACAAAUCUGGUAUAGAAGAGGCAAUGGUUUGCAGAUAGCCAAAAUGGAAAAGAGAAUACUUGUGCACUAUAACUUUCCCCUGUCAGAGUAACUCUUAGGGCGCACACACACGGUAGAUGAACUGCAUGCAGAGUAAAGCCUGUGCCACAGGGAGAGCCUGCAGCUCCUCUAUCUAGUCUUCAGGCAUGCAAAACAGACUCAAUAUGGCCAGGCCUAUGCUUUCCAAUAUGAUUUGCUUUACCCAAGGGAUUCUCACCAUGAAAUCUAAUCAAAUCACAUAAUCUAACUACAGAACUAACUAAGCAGUUAUGCUUCUUGACUUUUGUCACUGCUCUUUUUCUCUCCCCCAAUUUGGCGACGGCUGUGUGUAGCAGAGAAUCCUAUCGGCACUGGUUGUGAUUUCAUUAUUCAAACGUAUCAAAAAGUUCACUGGAGACUUCCUUCCCCAUGGGAAUAAUUGUGUCUGCUGCAAAAUGCAGCGCUGCAGCUCCUACAGCCACCAAGUGACAGAGAGAAUCCAUCACACUUUCAGAUGAGGCUAAAUGUUUUCAGGGAGGUUUCCCAUCAGACAUAUGCCAGCUCAUACAUACCAUUUCGCAGUUGUACACAUUUUUGUUCCCAGCCGUGUAUUUAUGUAUUUGUUAGUGUUGGAAUUCCAUUCACUUCUUUUUUUCCAACCCUUUCAUUUGCUCAACCUAUCUGCUAGAAUGCUAAGGCACUCUGCUGAAGCUAGGUUGGUAUUAAAAACAGCAAUAACAAGCACAGUGUAAAGUCGUUGAUUUUCUCUUAAUACCACUUGUCUCAAUCCACUGUCUUCUAUAGAUUUACUCCCCAUUUACACUGGGGCAAUAUAUACUUUAGCCUCAAACUAUCAUUUCCAGUUGUACAUCAGUUUUAAAGGCAGAUUAGUCAAAUACUUUUCCAGAGGAACUGAAAGAACAGUAAAGUUAUUUAUUUUUACAGUCAUUCUUCCAGCCCCUAAGUGGCUUCAAACAAAAUAUUUUAAGUUGGGCUAUUUAGUAGCAAGGACAACGCAAAGAUUAAUAAGAAAUGUUAUUUAGCUGGAUGUCUGUACAUGUCUUUCUUUUUGCUAUGGAACAGAGGUAUGUGUCUGUCUGGGGAAAAGUGGGAGAACCUGGGAGUGAAGUCAAGGAAGGCUGGCUGAGCAAAUUCACUUCUGACAGAUAAUUUCAAAUGAAACAGGAGCUUUUCCUAUAAGGAGAAGUUUGCUGACAAGAGCAACAGAAAUAUGAGUUAGUGUCACAGAGAAAGAUCACAUUAUUAAAAGGACUUGUUCAUUUAUUGCCUGUCCUCUGUGCCGUUCCUAAGGUUAUUAGGAAAUAAACUUAUAAAAACAAAAAGAGUCUUAUUAUGGCAAGGAGUUGUUGAGGAUAUUUCCAGAUGAAAUAUUUCCACCCUCCAGUACUCAUGGCAGCUAGAGAUGUUACCAACCCUGAGGUAGCACAACAAAACCAAUGCAGAUUUGGUUUGAGACAUCUGGACGUUGUGUGCACACUCUGUGUCCCAAAUCUACAGAAAUCUCUAUACAGAUGAAUAACAUGCUCAAACAAUCCUCCAAUAAACAUACCCUCACAGAAUGUUAGGUGCUUCACGAGAAGCUCUGCAAUAGUAUCCUGACUUGUCUAGGUGGAAACUGUCAGCCUAGCCAACAAUUCAUGUCAUCAGUCAUAGGUCUGGAGUGAUCCCAUGACACCUUUUCCUUUACUCACUUCAAGUUGGUCAACAAAGAGACACCUCCAGAGAGUGAAGGUCCUACACAAGAACCCAGUUUAAAUGCCCAAAUUAGUUGAAUGAAUCUGGGUGUUAGUGCCUCACAACUUUCAGUAUCUUUUCCAUAUCCAUGUGAAGUACAGCAUGUUCCUCAGUUUGUGAAAAGCAAGGAAAGGUACAAAUAAAUACUUCAUGAGGAUAACACUGAAAGAUAGAAGGAGUGCAGAGAAUGGAACUGUUCAUUAACUGGAUAGGAAAAAUGACCUAGCAGUAUCCUGGUCAUUGAGGAAGGACAGUUCAAAAAAUGUACAGAUAACAAUCAUACGAAGAAAACCUUUCACCAUCAAGUUUUUGUCAUCUCUCAGAUUUAAGACUGACAGAGCAGGGAUUUAGCUAGAAGCAACUCUGGCCAAUGUUUAUCAACCAUAUGACAGUAUGCUUCUAUUAAUAUUAGCUCUUUUAAAAAUAGUCAAUUUUACUGCAUUUUUAUGUGAUGUGAACACAUGGCAAUUUCCACAUAAAUUCUUGAUUUGUAAAACAGUGAUUCUAAUAGGAAAAAAUAUAUACAAUUUGCAUCAUUUUUAAUGGUACUGUAGCUACUGUGUAACUCAAACACAAUACAUUGAUUUCGUUUUAGCUAACUAACGCAGUGUGUGACGCCAUAUGCUGAGGAAAAUUGAUUUCACACAUUAUUCAUAUGAGUGACUACUUUUCAAACAGGAAUUUUGCUGAUCUCACUCUUCUCUUAGUGACGUCAACUCCCUCUUGUCCACACCCACAGGCUCAGAUUUCUGUCACUCACAUUCUCUACAGUCUUUUGUUCAGGAAUAAUUUCAUGAAGUUCUGUAAUGAGAAUGUCACAGCUGAACUUCUGUCAGUUUUUGUAUUCAUUCUUCCUUCUAAAUCUAAUUAUAACACAACACUUUCUCUCAACUGCCCACGCAUUUAUCUACAAAGUUAAGGUGGCUUUGCAUUUCGUAUAUAGAAGAGUAUUUGAGGUUUACAGUCUUGGCAUCUAGUCUUACAGUAUGUAGCACUUAAUAUGAAAGAAACCAGAAUAUUACAGAGACCAUAUAAUUGAUAUUCUGUCUGUCAAAUGAUGAUUUUCAGCACUGUUCCAUAUCACAAGUGGUUUUUGUCACCGACUGAAAUUUGAAUUAAUAUGUUUACAUCGCUAGCUCACAUUUCUAGUCAAGCAACUACCAGAAAUUCUGAAGUAAUUGAUACAAGUCAGCACUGACCUUUGUAAUUCUCGGCAAGAAGCCCGUAAGAUGAUUCUCCAGAGGGAAUGAAGCCUUUCCCUUCAGGACACAAAUCAGUGAAUUCAGCUACAAGAGAGGGGAAAAAAACAAAAGUUAUGCUGUCCAGAAAAACCUGCUUGCAUGUACUUGUUAUAUACACGUUUCAGGGUAGUUUGGGAAAUCUGAGGCAACCUUUUGCCUUAUUCACAUCUAUCAGGCCAUCAUGGACACCUUCAGCUAAAUGGGUGAUGCUAAUUCUACAGCUCAACUUUUUCCUGCUCUCAGCUGGCAGAGGUAGCUUUGAAAAACAGAGCUAGGAUACCCAGCUAUCACAGAGCUCAAUGUAAACUCAUUUAUCUUGCUUCUUGUCAGGAGAAUACAGUCGUCAUUGGGUUACAUGGUGCACUGCUGUUAUAACAAUACCAGUAGCAAAAUUAUUGUAAUUAAAGCGCGUUUUGGCCUUUCUGAGCUACACUGCAAUCUGCUGUGUAGACAUAUCCCAACUGAGAUACAGCCCUCUGUGCACAUACUUCAGAGAAAACAUUAACUGACUGCAACAGGAGAACAUCGUAUGGGUUACAGAGGAAAACUGUUUAAACUGUCUUGGAGACUGUACAGAAUCAAGUAAACCUAUCCAAGCAGAGUGUUUACCUAAUGUGCUUCAUUACAGUUUCACUGAUCUUAAACUACAGUUAAAACAGGAACUAAACAAGAUGAUGCAUGUGAGUAGAAACAAAUCUUUAGUAUUUAAUAUCAGAAAGUUUAAGCAUGUUCUCUUUUAAAGUGAUUUUUUCCAUCUGGAUACUGAAUUUCAGCCAUCACUGUUUAUAUUUCAAGUAUUGUUUUCAGUAUUUGUGAUGAGUAUCAUAUGGCUAUGUUUUUCUAAUUUAAUACUUAGAGGUUACACAACAGUCUGCAGAAGGCAUGAUUAGCUGUAUUGAUCAAUAAGUAGCAAAAUGUAAAACUAACAUCAUAAUAUGUAUCAGUAAUUCAUAGUGGUGUAGAAACAACAUUAUGAAGAAUAGCUACAGACUCAAAAACACGUGAUGCUUACCUUUGUUUUCCAGCUUGUGGGAAAAAAGAUAACUAAAAUGAUGCCAUAGCAUCUAUACCUUCUGUGAGAAUCCAUUUUUGUUUACAAUCUAUUGGAGAUAAUGCUGCCUGGUAACAGGCCAUUUUUAUCCCUAGGUUAACUAUGGCAAAGCCAAUAGAUUUAGACCAGAUAUGAAUUAUUCCUAUUGACUUUUCCUCUAUGAUAUCUCCCCCAAAAAAGUCAUGGCAAUAUUCUACAGAAUAUGGAAUCUAAUGUGAAAGCCUUCUCUGACAGCAAAGCAUACUAAAAUUAACAAAAAUUCAAUGCUUCAAAAAUUUACACAUGGAUGGACUGCUUCAUCUUACCAGUUCCAAAGACAGGGCAUGGGAAGAUUUCACAGUUAUCACCCCAGCCAGCACCCAAAGUACAGCAGCAUUCUUGUUUGGUUACAUUGGACGCAAGCACAUUGUCACAGAAGUUAGCAUCAUUCAGAUUGUAGUAGCACUCCUUCUUUCCAUCUUCAUGUUGAUCAGGCUCUAUUGGCAAUUCUAAAAGUGAAGAGAACAUCUGUGUAAGAUGAUAUGUGAAAUAAAUAGAUGUGUUUUACAGGACAAUCAUGUGAGUCACAGUUCUGAAGUCACUGCAGUGAAGAGUAGUGUUGCCUGGUUGAGAAGAAAAUAGUUAGGUACAAAUUCUGUUUUCACCUUUUUGUUCUUGGGAAGAAUGAUGGGAGUUCAUAACUGUUCUUUAUCAGACCUAUUCUCCAACUUGGCCAAAAAUGGCAUUUUUCAUACUUGCACUUCCUUCUCUUUCAAGUGAUGCAUGAACUACCUGCUGUCAUGCCUAACUAUCUAACUGUUGUGCCUGACACGGUGCUUUUCAGGUACGAACCUUGAUGUCCUUCACAGACAUGAGCAAACAUUACACUACCUCAUUUUACAGAUAAAGAAGCUAAGGCACAAACUGGAAAGGACUGAUUCUCCAAAGAAUGAACAUUUCCUUCUGAUUUUACUGGGGAAAAAAAAGCACAGUCCAUACUUGAAAACAAAGUCCUUCAUGAUUUUGACAAAAGUAACUGUGCAACUCUGCAGUAAGCAGAGGAAUACAAUACAGAUGUCGAGUUAACUGACUCUGCAUUUUACUUUAAAAUAGGCUUUGCAGGCAUCCAGCCAAGAAAUAGUAUUUUCUGCCCUUUGCAGUUGAGUGGGUCCUUUCCUGCUAUAUAUACAUAAGGACUUGAGGAAAAACACUCUUUCCCAUAGAUCCAAUAAAAGAAAUUAACAGUCAAAGACUUUUAAAAGCAAGGCGCUCCUUAAGUAUGCAAAGGAGUGAGUUUGAAAAGAAAUACGUGGUUUAAUCUUCUAUACUUUCAGAAUCCUGUCUAUCUAACCUUUCACUUGCAUAAAAAUUCUCUUCAAGAGAAUGCCUAGCACUUCGAUUAGAAAUACCGAAAUUCAUAAAAACACACUACAAAUAAUUGCACAUUGAUUGAUUUUCCACUGUUUGAGAUUUCAUCUGUUUCUUCUCAGCCUGUUGCACGAUAUGCCAAGCAGCAGAGAACUGUCAAGUAACGUGUCCAGGUGGGAAUUAAAACUCAAGGAGAAACUCAAGGCUGCCAGUGCACAAAGUCAUUGCGCAACUGGGAGAACCAUGUUCGCUUGACCGCCGUGUCUGUCUGCUCCUCCCUCUGGCUGUCUCAUGGAGGCAACGCUCAGUCUCUUCACACAAGUUACAGAACGCAUCUUCUUUCUCGUCCCCCUCACAUAAAAAGAAAUGGCUGUGAGGUGGGAGCUCAAAGGUAGUGAUUGCGCAACAGAUGCUGAAGGAACUCCAGCUCAUUACCUAAAACCCAUUCUGCCUUCCCGUACUCAUUUUGCAAGCAGAAUGUUGCCUGGCCAUGAACUUACAUUUCUCCUAAAAUUCUUUUGCUAAAUGACCUGCAUUGAGAUGUAUAAACAUUUUACAGUUCUCCACCAUAUUCCCAGCACUGCGUGUAUUGAAGAAGAACCUCACAAGAGAGACCACUUGCGAGUGGGAACUCACCUGUACACCCUUGCCCAUCCUGUGAGUCCUGAUAGCCCUGGUAACAGAGGCAGCGGUAGGAGCCGUCCAUGUUUUCACAGAACCCGUGGCUGCCACACACUGUGCCAUUCACACAUUCAUCGAUAUCUGUAAAGAAGUAUUAACAUCAGCCACGUGACAAUCAAAACAUACGUUCAUGAGGAGUGCAGGAAAACAACCAAAGGGCUGUUUUUGCAAAAAGCUGUGAUGCUUCUGCACAACGGAAAGGAAUACACAGAGGACAGGCCCAAAAACCUAAAGUGAGGUUCUGCCGAUGUAGUGUUACACAGUCAACAGCAUAUGUGAAACUGAACCCCUCGUGCAAGAAGAGCUUAAUAGUAUGUAUGGCUACAUUCCUUUUGCAGAAGUGCUGAACGCAGGCCAAAGAGUUUAUGUGGGACUUAGAAGCGCUGCACAGAUCUCAUUCUGGCACUUGGCACAGAAGAAAAUUUUGCGGUGCAUGUUUAAGUGGAGGAAGAACAUUAACUCAAAAAACUGGGAACCUGCCACGAUACAGGAUCGGUACCUUCUGCCUUCUGAAUUCCUCUGCAGUUUGAAGUGGAGAAGUUAUUGCUAAAUUUCUUUCCUAGAAUCCACUGUGACUGUUAAGUAAGGUUGCUGUUCACCUGCAAUUAAGUUCUGUGCUGUGCCUCUCAGAUAAUUAUGUUUUGAAUGGUGAAAAAAGUGACUCACUUUUGAUUUACCUAGUUAUGAGCUAGAUCGUUAAUCCUGCUCAUUAGAGCAGGCCACGUGAUGGAGCCUACCAACACUGUACCUCAAACAAACGCUUUAUGCACUCACUGAACUCAGGGGCUGGGAGGACUGAACCCUGCAUUGACACAGGAUGUGUUUGAACAGGUGAGCAGCACUGUUUGACAGGUUUAGAACUGCAUAUUGAUUUUCAAGACCAGAAGAGAUAUCCACAUCAUAUAGCCUGAACUCUUAAAUCAAUAGAUUAAAAAAACACCUCUGGUAGUUCUUUUUUACCAAGUAAAUUGUGGAACCAUACUUUCCAUAAAGGCCUCUAAUAUCAUUUUAAGGUUGUUUAAGUGAAGGAAAACUCACCUCUCACUGAAUGGAUCCACUGGCUAACAACAUUCAGCUAAAAUGCAAACUUCAUGCAGAAACUGGAUGUACUAAAUACACUGAAAUCUAUGAGACUUUUAUGAAUAUAAUCAAUUAUAUCUUAAAAACACUUGCAGAUGGAACUUGCGGAAUAUUUUAUUUGGUUUGUUGGUUUUGUCGGUGGAAGUUUUUAUGAGCUUCAAGUCUUGAUUUAUUAAACAGAGAAAAUAAUGAAUUCUAUAGAGUGCAAUUUCUAUUUGGCAAAGAAUACAAUUGCUACUGUGUUUAUUCUGAAGGAACUGAAUGUGAAAAUUAGGGUGCUUUUUGGAUACUGGACUUUUUGAAGUCUACCACAAACCCGCCUCGGUAGAAUUAAUUCAGCAGUAAGAGCAAACAACAUAUAUCUGUAUUAAAGACACUGUCAAAGGUGAAAGGUCAAGUAUUCCAAUGAUGGAAUAGUGAAAGGAUGCAUACAGAGUUACUGGAAGAAUGGAGAUAAAACCUGUACACCAGCAGUUACGGUUGUGUGUUAAUGAACCUUCACUUUUGCUACUGAGCACCAGACCUGCAUGACAUAUUUCAGGUUAAUUUUUAGUCUCAUGACCAUCUGGAGUUUCACAUAUCUGGUAAAAAAAAGUCUUAACACUAUAUCUUUUAUUCAGAAAACCCUGUUAGGGGAAUUCAAAUUGAGUAAGCAGUGGUGGAUUGACAGCCAGGAAUUUAAGAAAACAGACAAUAAUGCAGUGCUUGUAUUUUUAGUGGCCAGCUAUAGCUUAAUAACAGAAGUUCCUGAGCCACAGGACAUUCACACUGCUGAAAGCCCAGACAGGAGAGACUACAACUGGGGAUUUUGGAAUUACAUGAGUUACAGUAUUUCUUUUACUGAAUACCUAAAUAUUAAAGAAAACAGAUAGGAGAAUGGAUUGUGCUCUUCAGUAAACUAAGGGCAUUGGCUGAAAGUCUGCAGAAACAAAAUGUGGGAUUGUAGCAGGUGUCCUAAUUUAGUAUAUAGCGUAUCCGCAGGAGAUGGCCUUGUUUUUAAAAAGCACACAGUCUGAACAUGACUAGAUCUUUCGGUGCAUGGGAAAUUACAGAGAAGGUCCAAGCACCAAAUAUUUUUCCUUGUCUAGACAGCUCACUCAAAGGACGCCUGUUUUACAGCCGGAAAGGGCAUUUGUUCCUUUAAUGACGCUGUAAAGCAUGAGCCUUGUAAUUGGCAAUUCUCUUGCUAUAUAGAGACAGAGUAAGGGAAAAAAUUAAAUAAGAAAUAAAUAUAUCCUAUGUCUAUACAGUGACUAAAGUAGCUCUCUAAUUAUGGCUGUUUUAGAACUCAUGACUCAGUGUGCCUGCUUUAACCAAAACUCCUUUGAUCUAACAUCAUCAAGGUGUAAAGAAAGGCAAUGCGUGUGCACUCAAGCCUGUUCCUGUUCAACUCAACAAUCCAUUGCUGUUUUCUGCCAAUGUGAACAAGGUGAAGGAAUACUUAACCUCAGGCACAAAUAUUUAAAUCUCACCGAAAUCAAUUUACAUUGCAAAAUUUCAGUGGGGACAGUUUUGUACACUGCUUAGAAGAACAGCUGUGGUUCUGAGACUUUCCAGGGCUGUCCGUAACACCCACAAGUUAAAAUCAGGACAGUGAACAUCUGAAUAAAGAUUGGUCAUCUGGAGGAAAUGAUUCUGGAUGGUCAUUGCAAGACUGUGAUAUGCUAAGACAGACUCUUGUUUUUCCCUUUGUGUUCCUAUUUCUUUAGUGUGCUGUUACAAAGCAGUUGUUGCCCUAACACAUCUCUAUCAGGAAACAUUAAGAAAGUUGGUGAAGUUUGUGAUUAUUCUUUAUUCACUGUGAAACAAAGAGACAGCUCACAGGGGCGCUCUGUAGGUGAAUGCCUGAAUCCAAGUUUGGCAAAAGCUUUCUUACCUCUGUAUUUAAUUAGAGACUUGGUGAAAAUUAAGUUGCCUACUGCAUAAAGUUUACAAGAUGCCAACUGAGGGCAAGCAGAUAUUGGAGAGCUCUGAAGGAAUAUGGAGUGCUUGUUGAUGCUGACACUGGGGCUAUGGGCUUGGAGCAGAGAGAGGGAAAAGUGAGGGAGCCACUGAGAAACAGAUGAAAUUUGACAUGAAAACAGAAGAGGCGCUUGGUGCAGGGCAUUAACUUCAGCAUCAGAGAACCUCUAAGUUGAGUUUUUGCCAACACAAUAGACUAGCAACCAGCUGUGUAAGAUAUCUUUAUAGGAACCCCAGAGAGCUCCACAGGGAGCUAUGCAGUGCUCUAAGAGCCUCCUGUUCUGAGAGCACGGCACAGUCAAAUUGCUGAGCCUGGGGCCAUGGAAGCAGUGAAAUGUCACCAACCACAACAAAAGUUUGUCUACACAGUGGAAGAAGACAAUCAGCACAGCUGUUGAGUUUGCUUUGGCCAUGGCCAUAAAAACUCCAUACCAGAACUGAAUCAUGUGGGCUUCUUACUGUUUUAUGUUGUUGUUUCUGACUCUUCACAGAAUUAUUAAAUUCAUAAAAAACAGCUUGGAGAUAUGGCAAAUCUGUUCUCCAGGUACAGAAAAGCAACUGAAUCCAGCAAAAUUUCCUCAGCUUCUUUCUCUGAUGGCAUAAACAGUUAUCCUCACUCACUUAACUGGAGAUAAAUUCAGAGGCACCUCGUGUAAAAAACAGUAGCUUCUGCAGCUUGAAGCCACGGCCUUUCUCAGUACCUGGAACGUCAUACAUUCUUUCUGUUUCUAAUCUUAUUGUUUCAUCUUGUCUUUUUGCAAGCUGACUCUUGAAACUGACAUCAGAACAAAUAUAAACUAAGCAGUGAAUAUUAAUUAAGCACUGAAGUCAUCAGUGCUUCCCUUAUGUGAUUUUCUUCAACUCUAGAAUUGUUAUUAUUAAAAUGACAGAAUGGAGAAACUAGUCACAGUAAAAAAUGAGUGUUGCUGCUUCAGAAGACUAGAAGUACCCCUGUUUCGCCAAGUUAUUAAAAUGCUUUUCCAAGUGCUGAAGUCUGAUCUGUAUUCCAUACACACCACCAAUUGCUUGUGAAGCACAGUGACCUGGUUUUGUAUUUUUUUUUUUUUAUUCUUCACUAAAAAUGUUCCAAAACUACUCAUGCUCCUGGAAACAGACCUAUCUGGUGAUUUCAUCCUUUUCUAUUUAGUAAAACUCAGGCUUUUUUAUUCUAAUGAAGAUUACCUAUGUACUACUGUAUCAUAUGUGAUAGUAACCCUUCCCUAAGAACUGCUUAUUAACUGUCAGAGAUCAAGACAGAGGGGAUUCAGCUUCUGGUCUGUCCCUUAAGCUCAGAUGUCACUAACUUUUUAAGUUGUUUCUGUUCAGUGUUGUCUUUUUUUUUUAUUUCACUCUCAAUUAAUGUAUUUGUGGGUUUGAUUCCACGAGGCUGGUAAAUGUUCUUCUAACUGAUGUGGAAUAAAUGUUUGGUUUCUGCUAAAAGCAAGCUACAUUCUUCACUCUUUCUUUUUUUAAAACUAUGUUCAACAGUGAGGCAAAACACCUGCCACUACUUUUCAUGCUGAGAAACCGAAGAUAUUUAACCAUAUCCUACAUAAAGACUGGGUGAAAUAUAGAUGUGCUGCCAGAAGAGUCUAAGAACAUGAUUUUUAGCAACUGGUUACCAGAAAAGUUGGAAUUGCCCCAUUGCUUGAAAUCAUACAAUAUUGGCUUCUCCAUCUGUCACUGGGCCUACUCAGAGUCAUCCUCUCUAGUCUAAUUACCAGGCUUUUCUAUAACAUUAUGACAAAAUAAAGUAAAUAUUUAGAUAUGAAAAAGCAACAAAAUAUCUAAUGGAGUUUUUAGUUGUCAACAAUAAGUAAAGCACAAAUAGUGUGUUUGAUGUCAUGCUGUAUCUAAAUAUAUAGCAUGCAUUAUCUUACAUAGCAUAACAAUAUUCUCUUACCAAUUUAAUUUCCUUAGUUAUCAUAUUACAUUAAGAAGUUCAGCUUUAAUAAUAAUUCUGACUUUCCUCUGCUAAAAGUACAAUGAGUAAAUGUUCCAGAAGUUUCCAUGCACCUUCUCCAUAGGAGGCAGUCUUUUCAUUAGGCCUAAGCAAACUGAUGAGAAGAGCUGACCCAUGGAAAAUCAAUCACACGAGAAUUUACUGGCUUAUAACCUAGGAUAGGGAACAGCUUGCUUACGUUUUGGAUGUUUGUUAUCUGCUACUGCAAGGUUUUAACACCGAACUAU